GGUAAUACGAAGGGUGCAAGCGUUACUCGGAAUUACUGGGCGUAAAGCGUGCGUAGGUGGUUGUUUAAGUCUGUUGUGAAAGCCCUGGGCUCAACCUGGGAAUUGCAGUGGAUACUGGGCGACUAGAGUGUGGUAGAGGGUAGUGGAAUUCCCGGUGUAGCAGUGAAAUGCGUAGAGAUCGGGAGGAACAUCCAUGGCGAAGGCAGCUACCUGGACCAACACUGACACUGAGGCACGAAAGCGUGGGGAGCAAACAGGAUUA
rnacentral:rRNA from 1 species